rnacentral:lncRNA from 1 species
CGCGCGGGAAGAUGGCGGAACAGGCUACCAAGUCCGUGCUGUUUGUGUGUCUGGGUAACAUUUGUCGAUCACCCAUUGCAGAAGCAGUUUUCAGGAAACUUGUAACCGAUCAAAACAUCUCAGAGAAUUGGAGGGUAGACAGCGCGGCAACUUCCGGUGGGUCAUUGACAGCGGUGCUGUUUCUGACUGGAACGUGGGCCGGUCCCCAGACCCAAGAGCUGUGAGCUGCCUAAGAAAUCAUGGCAUUCACACAGCCCAUAAAGCAAGACAGAUUACCAAAGAAGAUUUUGCCACAUUUGAUUAUAUACUAUGUAUGGAUGAAAGCAAUCUGAGGGGAAUGACUCUGACUUUGAGACGGUGUACCAGCAGUGUGUCAGGUGCUGCAGAGCGUUCUUGGAGAAGGCCCACUGAGGCAGGUUCGUGCCCUGCUGCGGCCAGCCUGACUAGACCCCACCCUGAGGUCCUGCAUUUCUCAGUCGGUGUGUAAUCACGUUCCAGGGCCCAAAGCCCAGCUCUUUGUUCAGUUGACUUACUGUUUCUUACCUUAAAAAGUAAUUGUAGAUGGAAAUCAGUUGUGUUUGGCAGGAGAAUCAAUAAAAAUCUUUGAUUCAGACAGCUUAUGGGGUAUUUUAAGCAUUCUUAGACUAGUUGAACAUCUCACUUUGCCCCAGUUACAAAAAUAGUAGAACAAGCAACAUAAAACAAUGAAGGAAAACCUCACUUGAAGGCCCAGGUCAACAUCUAAGCCUGUUGAGACUUAGAUAAUCGAGUCUACCUCUUCAGUAGGUUUGUGUGGAUGGCCUGGAGGGCAGGUGCCCUCUGCUCCCCAGUGCUACCUCUCUCUUCCCUAGGGCCUUUUGUGGAUUGACAGUAGUCCCCUCCGUAGGAGCUCACAGUCUAGAUUAGAAGUGUUUUAAUUUCUACACACCCAUAGUGCACACUUGUAUAUUGAAAAGAUAGGGAAGAGAGAAACAUUUAUGGAAUCAGUCGUUGGCACCUUCAAUACUUCAUGAUUUUUGUCGAGUUUACUUCAUGAGGAGGUCAGCCCAUUGGCUCCCAUCUGAACCACUUUGCCUCUGAAACUUAAUUACAUCCAGAAAGAAGGACACUUGUAUGCUAGUCUAUGGUCAGUUGAGGAAUAUGACUGUUUUUAUAUGCACAUGUAACCCAAAUGUCCAAUAUAAAUUGGCUUAUUUUUUAAAAUAAUUUUAAAAGUUGGGAAAAGUGUUAUUAUUUGGCAUGCUUAAAUAUUGAAUAAGUAUUCUUCAUCAGCAUUUAAUAAAUGUAUAGGCAGAUGUAAGGUAAUUUCUGUGUAUUUUGAGAUAAUGUCAAAAUCAUGAAUAUUUCAAAAUAAACUGGGGAGUUAUAAAAAUACAA